AUGGCGGAGCGAGACGAGCUACUCGCUGAUGUCCGCUAUCGACUACAGCAGGCGCAGGCGGUCUACAAGUCCUACUAUGACAGACGCCAUCGCGAUGUCAGGCAUGUAGUAGGCGACUGGGUGUGGCUUCGUCUUCGCCAGCGUGCCGCAUCUUCUCUUAACUUGCCAACCAGGGGCAAGCUCAAGCCACGCUUCUACGGGCCAUACCGCAUUUCCGAGGUCGUCAACGACGUCGCCUACCGCCUUGAGCUACCGGUGCGCUCGCGCCUCCAUGAUGUUCUCCAUGUGGCCCUCCUCAAGAAGUUCUUUGGCACGCCUCCAACUGCACCGCUGGGUUUGCCUCCAAUUCACAACGGUGCUUCUGUCCCGGAACCAGAACGCGUGACUCGUUCACACCUCGCACGCGGCGUUCACCAGCUCCUUGUCCACUGGAAGGGCGAGGCUGCGUCAUCGGCAACGUGGGAGGAUCUUGAAAGUUUCGUCGAGCGCUACCCCGCUUUUCAGCUCGAGGACGAGCUGCUCGUCGAGGGGGGGGGGGAGAGAUGUCAUGUGGGGCGCUGCGUACAGGCGCGGGUCGCGCACCCAGGAGCAGCAGUCGGCGGCCACAGCUGGCGAGGCAUGAUCAGGGCAAGGAGUCCUGAUCCUACGAGUCUAGGAGUAGUUAGUUUCCUAGUUUUUUCUGAUCCUACGUUGGUUCCUAGAGUCCAGGAGUUAGUUUCCUAG
rnacentral:rRNA from 1 species